GUGCCAGCAGCCGCGGUAAGACGGAGGGUGCAAGCGUUGUUCGGAUUGACUGGGCGUAAAGGGCGUGUAGGCGGUCGGUCAAGUUCGGUGUGAAAGCCCGGGGCUCAGCUCCGGAAGUGCAUCGGAAACUAGCCGACUCGAGCGCGAUAGAGGAGGGUGGAAUUCCUGGUGUAGCGGUGAAAUGCGUAGAUAUCAGGAGGAACACCGGCGGCGAAGGCGGCCCUCUGGGUCGUUGCUGACGCUGAGACGCGAAAGCGUGGGGAGCAAACAGGAUUAGAAACCCUGGUAGUCC
rnacentral:rRNA from 1 species